UCUCUCUGUCUGUGAGUGUGUAAAGUAAAACACCGGGCUCCUGAUUUCUAAAUGCAGCACAAUAAGUGUGAGCAGAUAGAGGGUAUGAUGGAGCCCUGCUGCAAGGCCUCACGGAACUUGUAGUCCCGCAGUCGUCCCACUUCCGUUUCGUUCUAUGUUCGAUCACCGGAGCAAGUACUACAAGUCCCAGAAUGCUCCGCGCGUUGCUCCCAGGGUCGGUGAGAGCAGGGUGUCAGGGUGUUGUUUGAAUCAGGGAUAAUUACCCCGGUAACGGGUGGUGUAUAGAGGGUGUAGGUUGGUGUGUUACCGUUACAGCUUGUCAGCUGCUGUUACAGGAUGGCCUUUCCGGUGUCACCGGCCUGGCAGAAUGUCAGUUAUUAGGCUGUGUUUGCAGGGUUGCCAUGGAUGCUGCUGGAUG